rnacentral:rRNA from 1 species
CUAAGAAUAUUCCGCAAUGGACGGAAGUCUGACGGAGCGACGCCGCGUGGAUGACGAAGGCCGAAAGGUUGUAAAGUUCUUUUGCUGGGGAAGAAUAACCGCAGGAGGGAAUGCCUGUGGGAUGACAAGAACCGGCGAAUAAGCCCCGGCCAACUACGUGCCAGCAGCCGCGGUAACACGUAGGGGGGCGAGCGUUGUUCGGAAUUACUGGGCGUAAAGGGCAUGUAGGCGGCCUGGAAAGCCUGGCGUGAAAGUCUGCAGCUUAACUGCAGGGGUGCGCUGGGAACUGCUGAGCUUGAGUGACGGAGAGGGAGCUGGAAUUCCUGGUGUAGGGGUGAAAUCUGUAGAUAUCAGGAAGAACACCGGUGGCGAAGGCAAGCUCCUGGCCGAUGACUGACGCUGAGGUGCGAAAGUGUGGGGAUCAAACAGGAUUAGAUACCCUGGUAGUCCACACAGUCAACGAUGUGCACUAGGUGCUGGGGCGGUAGCUUCGGUGCCGGAGCGAACGUGGUAAGUGCACCGCCUGGGGAGUAUGCUCGCAAGGGUGAAACUCAAAGGAAUUGACGGGGGUCAUAGCUG